CUGGGUGUUAUCUUUUCCCUAUUGUAUUUUUCUAGAGUUGCUAUUUCACAUUUAUUUUUAAUUUCUUUCCCCAUUGUUUUUUCUAACAAAAAUUUACAGUCAUGUAUUUUCAUUUUGGUUAGCGAAUUAACAUUUAGAGAAUCAGAAUCUUCAUCUUGAAACAGAGCAUCUAUGUUUUUCCCACAUCUGCUUCUGUUUUCAAAUAAAGCCAUAUACAUACAG